rnacentral:rRNA from 1 species
GACACGCGAAGCGGAAAAGGCAUUUUUUUUUCACUUUCAUCGAUUAGAAGCAGCUCCGAAAAGGAAAAGAAACGACGAACUCUCCCCGUCCCGGCCCCGCUCCCCGCCACGCCAAGUCGACGGCCGCUCGCCGCCGCCCCUCCCUCCGCCGACCUCGGCCGUUCGGCCCCUCCCGCGGCUGGGGUGAACGGCGAGCCCCCCUUGCUUCUCCUCUGUCCUGCCCUGCACGGCAAGCAAGGCGGGAGCGAUCGGCGUCGGGAUGCUGAGGCGGCGGCUGAGCUCCCUUCUCCUCCGAUCCCCGUGCUCCUCCGCCGUCGCUUCCUCCUGCCACCACCAGCAGCACCACCUCCUCCUCCCCACCCACGCCGAGAAACCGCCGGCCCCGAAUCUGCUCAGGCUCUUCACGUCCCUAGCUGGAAGCGAUGGUGACAGGCCGUUCAUCGCUUUCGUCUUAGGGGGACCUGGGAGUGGGAAAGGAACGCAAUGUAGUAGGAUCGCUUCGGAUUUUGGAUUUUCUCAUGUGAGUGCUGGUGACCUUCUGCGCAAUGAAAUAUCUUCGGGCACUGAUCAUGGGGAGUGGAUCCUAGAGAUAAUAAGGGAAGGGAGGAUUGUUCCAUCAGAGAUAACUGUUGAGCUUGUCAGAAAAGCAAUUGAAUCAAGCUCUGCUAAAAGGGUUCUUAUUGAUGGUUUCCCAAGGUGUGAGGAAAACAGAAUUGCCUUUGAAAAAAUAACUGGAACUGAACCAGACCUUGUGCUUUUCUUUGACUGUCCUGAGGAUGAGAUGGUUAAACGUCUCCUAAGCCGUAACCAGGGACGAGUUGAUGAUAACAUUGAGACAAUCAAGAAGCGUCUAAAAGUGUUCGAGAGUUUGAAUCUUCCUGUUGUUGAGUACUACUCUUCAAGGGGAAAGGCACACAAGAUAAACGCAACGGGAACUGAAGAUGAAAUCUUUGAAGCAGUUCGCAAGUUGUUUUCCACCUUAAGGCUAUGAGGAGGCUGUCGUCGUCUUCCGCAGGAGCCGGGGGAAUCAGAGUUACGCCUGGCGGAAAUUCUCUUCCUUUCCUUAUUUACUUUUACAUGUCUUGGCAUAAUAAUUGUACAUAUUCUGAUACACGGUCCAUGCCUGUGAAAACAGAGGGCCCCCGGUGAAACGCUCAGCCCGCUAUGAUAAACCCUAACCCUCACGCUCCCGUCGCGCGCCACGGUAUAGCGCAUGAUACGCUGGUAUGGCAGCAAUACUGCUACAAUGAUAUUUUUCUUCCAACACCCUAACAAUAUACUCCCUCCGUCUGGAAAUACUUGUCAUCAAAAUGGGACAUAUUUUAGUUCUAGAUACAUCUCUUUUAUCUAUUUUGAUGACAAGUAUUUUUGGACGGAGGGAGUAUAUGCCUGCCCUGUUGUUGUUUUUU